rnacentral:rRNA from 1 species
GGAUCCAGACUUUGAUCCUGGCUCAGGAUGAACGCUAGCUACAGGCUUAACACAUGCAAGUCGAGGGGCAGCGGUAUCGAAAGCUUGCUUUCGGUAGCCGGCGACCGGCGCACGGGUGAGUAACGCGUAUCGAACCUGCCUCAUACUCGGGAAUAGCCUUGCGAAAGUAAGAUUAAUGCCCGGUGUUUUCAGAGUCCCGCAUGAGGCUUUGAACAAAGAUUUAUCGGUAUGAGAUGGCGAUGCGUCCCAUUAGCUUGUUGGCGGGGUAACGGCCCACCAAGGCAUCGAUGGGUAGGGGUUCUGAGAGGAAGGUCCCCCACAUUGGAACUGAGACACGGUCCAAACUCCUACGGGAGGCAGCAGUGAGGAAUAUUGGUCAAUGGGCGGAAGCCUGAACCAGCCAAGUAGCGUGCAGGAAGACGGCCCUCCGGGUUGUAAACUGCUUUUAGUUGGGAAUAAAACGGGGCUCGUGAGCCCCCUUGCAUGUACCAUCAGAAAAAGGACCGGCUAAUUCCGUGCCAGCAGCCGCGGUAAUACGGAAGGUUCGGGCGUUAUCCGGAUUUAUUGGGUUUAAAGGGAGCGCAGGCGGACCUUUAAGUCAGCUGUGAAAUACGGCGGCUCAACCGUCGAACUGCAGUUGAUACUGGAGGUCUUGAGUGCACACAGGGAUGCUGGAAUUCAUGGUGUAGCGGUGAAAUGCUCAGAUAUCAUGAAGAACUCCGAUCGCGAAGGCGGCAUCCGGGGUGCAACUGACGCUGAGGCUCGAAAGUGCGGGUAUCAAACAGGAUUAGAUACCCUGGUAGUCCGCACAGUAAACGAUGAAUACUCGCGGUUUGCGAUACAGUGUAAGCCGCCAAGCGAAAGCGUUAAGUAUUCCACCUGGGGAGUACGCCGGCAACGGUGCAACUCAAAGGAAUUGACGG